rnacentral:rRNA from 1 species
CGAACGCUGGCGGCGUGCCUAACACAUGCAAGUCGAACGGUAACAGGGAAUAGCUUGCUAUUUUGCUGACGAGUGGCGCACGGGUGAGUAACGCGUGGAAAUCUACCUAUCAGUGGGGGACAACUUUCGGAAACGGAAGCUAAUACCGCAUACGUCCUACGGGAGAAAGCGGGGGACCUUCGGGCCUCGCGCUGAUAGAUGAGUCCGCGUCUGAUUAGCUAGUUGGUGGGGUAAAGGCCUACCAAGGCGAUGAUCAGUAACUGGUUUGAGAGGAUGAUCAGUCACACUGGAACUGAGACACGGUCCAGACUCCUACGGGAGGCAGCAGUGGGGAAUAUUGCACAAUGGGCGAAAGCCUGAUGCAGCGACGCCGCGUGUGGGAAGAAGGCUUUAGGGUUGUAAACCACUUUCAAUUGGGAAGAAGAGAUGAGUAUUAAUAGUAUUCUGAUUUGACGGUACCUUUAGAAGAAGCACCGGCUAAUUUC